AGACAUGCAUUUAAGAACUGAUUGUUGUUGCUUGCAGUGUUUGUGAAGAUGUGUUGAUGGACUUUGAUGCUCUUGUCGAGGCACAGACUGGUUUGGGAACAGCUGCUGUUAUAGUCAUGAACAAGCAGUGUGAUCUUAUCCUUGCUAUUGCCCGGCUUAUCGAGUUCUACAAACAUGAGAGCUGUGGUCAGUGCACACCCUGUAGGGAGGGCUGCAGUUGGAUGACUACAAUCAUGUACAGAUUUGGUGAGUUGACACUUCACGCAUGUUAAAAAGAGACGAAAUAGGCACUAGGCGAGCUGCGUUCAUCUGCUAGAAUUAUUUGAAAGAAAGGACUGUUUAUAGUGUAAACAAAAACAAGAUGAAUUAUCUUUUGUGGUAAAAUUCCUUGUUUUUUUUGAAUGAGAGAGUUCUUACUUGUAUGCUGGUUAAUCAAACUCUUAGGCUGAGGAAAUUAAGACAAAAAAAUAACAGGACGUGAGUUUGUCCCUUGACCUUGAAAUCCCAACCCUCCAAGUCGCGACCAUUUUAGUCGCCAUGGCGACUAGAAUUUUGGAGCUGGCGACUAAAUAUUAGAACGCAAGUCGCCAGCUCGGCGACUAAAAUUAACGUGACCUGUGCGUUAGGAGCUUGAGCGGACUAUCAUCCGGAGCGAAAAGAAAAACGUUCUGAGCAUUAAG